rnacentral:ncRNA from 1 species
UCAGAUAGAGGCGCGGACUUCAUCAGUAUCGCUCGGAUAUUAAGGCAAUCGCCGAGUGUGAAAGGGAACUCCGCCGAAGUUAACGGAUCGCAGCCUUGGCACCGUUUUCUGGGCCGUCGGGAAAUACCCGCCGGACUGUCGCAGAACCUUCUGCGGAGCGCUAUCG